CAUCUGAGUUAGUGAGGUGUAGUCUGGUAGGAACAUCUGAGUUAGUGAGGUGUAGUCUGGUGGGGACAGAACAUCUGAGUUAGUGAGGUGUAGUCUGGUGGGGAACAGAACAUCUGAGUUAGUGAGGUGUAGUCUGGUAGGGACAUCUGAGUUAGUGAGGUGUAGUCUGGUAGGAACAUCUGAGUUAGUGAGGUGUAGUCUGGUAGGAACAUCUGAGUUAGUGAGCUGUAGUCUGGGGGAACAUCUGAGUUAGUGAGGUGUAGUCUGGUAGGAACAUCUGAGUUAGUGAGCUGUAGUCUGGGGGAACAUCUGAGUUAGUGAGGUGUAGUCUGGUGGGGACAUCUGAGUUAGUGAGGUGUAGUCUGAUGGGGAACAGAACAUCUGAGUUAGUGAGGUGUAGUCUGG